GGUGCUAUGCAAGAAGUCAUUAUCCAACCCCGUCAGGUUCGGAAGAAAGCAGCGGCAGAUAGUUGAUUUCUGUGCCGUAGUUUACCUGG
rnacentral:SRP_RNA from 1 species